UUUUUUUUUUUUUUUUUUUUUUUUUUUGCUGUGAUGUACAGUGUGGGGUCUCAGUUCCCAGACCAGGCGUGAACCCGGGCCAUAGCCACUAGACCACCAGGGAACUCCCUUAGGUACAUUCUUUCAUUCUUUUUGUUCUUUUUUUUUUCCUUAGAUACAUUCGUAAAUUUUUUUUUAUCAAGGUGAAUUUCACAUAACUCAAAACUAACCAUUUUAUUUACCUAUUUUUUAUUUUUUUGCCUUUUUUUUUUUUUAAGGGCCUAAUCAGCAGCAUAUGGAAGUUCCUGGACUAGGGGUCAAAUCAGAUCUGCAGCUGCCAGCCUAUACCACAGCCACAGCAGCAACAAAUAUGAGCCACAUCUUCGACCUGCACCACAACUCACAGCAACCAAUGCCAGAUCCUUAAUUCACUGAGCAAAGCCAGGAAUCAAACUUGCAUGGAUACUAGUUGGGUUCAUUUCUGCUGAGCCACAACGGGAACUCCCAAAUUAACCUUUUUUUUUUUUUUUAAGGGCUGCACUCUCGGCAUGUGGAGAGGUUUCCAUGCUAGGGGUCUAAUCGGAGCUACAGCUGUUGGCCUGUGCCACAGCAAUACCAGAGCUAAGCAGCGUCUGUGACCUACACCACAGCUCACAGCAACGCUGGAUCCUUAACCUACUGAUCGAGGCCAGGGAUCGAACCUGCAACCUCAUGGCUCCUAGUGGGAUUCGCUUCUGCUGCUUCAUCAUGGGAACUCCCAAAUUAACCAUUUUAAAGUGAAUAAUUCAGUGGCAUUUAGUACAUUCACAUUGUUGUGCACCCACCAUCCAGCUCCAAAAUGUAUUCAUCACCACAAGGAAAUCUCAUUUCUCUCACGCAGCUCCUUCCCGUUGCCCGCUCUCCCCAGUUCCUCGUCCUUUGCAGGUGACGGUGUUCACAGGGUGUUUUGAGGCGUGGGGUAAUGCAGUCGUCUAAUCCUGUGGUACAGGGUUGGAAUUGAAGAAACCAGCAAGAAGUUCAAGAAGCAGUGGUGCUUUGAGCCAAGCCUUAGAGAUAGGAGUUUUCCCUGUGUUUCUGAUUUUAGGGUGUUUAUUACCUUUUUUUUUUUUUGGGUCUUUUUAGGACCCCACAGCAAUGCCAGAUCUGAGCCUUGUCUUGGACCUACACCACAGCUCAUGGCAAUGCCGGGUCCUUAGCCCACUGAGCGAGGCCAGGGAUGGAACAUGCACCCUCAUGGUUCCUAGUCGGAGUCUUUAACCACUGCACCACGACAGGAACUCCAGUGUAGCCAUUAUUUAAAUUUAAGUUUAUUAAAAUCAAAUAAAUGGAGAGUUCAGUUCUGUCCCAUUAGCCACAUUUCAGGUGCUCAGUAGAUGUCUGUAGACACUGUGCUGGACUGCGCAGAAUCGAACAUCUCCAUUUUCCCAGAGGGCACUGCUGGGCAGCUGUGACCUCGAGGUUCUGAUGAAGUGAAAGCUUUGUUCUUUUUAACUUCUGUACUGCUUCUGGAUUCUGCUGCUUUAAUCAAGGUACCUGGUGAAAUGUAUAUUGGAACAGCUGAUAAAUAUUAAGAUGGAUUUGUGCUGAAUUCCUCUAGUGGAGGAUUUGUGAAAAUACUGCUGUUAGGGUAUUCAAAGUUAGGCUUCUUGAGAAAGCAGGUAGAAAUUGAAAGCAUAGAAGAGCUUUGUUUUUUGAGGUGGUUAUCUAGUACCUAGUUAACGAAAAGGAUGAUGAAGCUGUACAGCUAUGUUGAAGAUAAGUGUAGGACUUAAAAAAUCAACAGUAUGAAGGCUCAGCAUUGUUUCUAAAGAUUAGGUUUUUAUUUAUUAUUAUUUUUUAAUUUUUAAUUUUUUUAAAUUUUUUUUGUCUUUUUUUUUGCUAUUUCUUGGGCCGCUCCCGUGGCACGUGGAGGUUCCCAGGCUAGGGGUCGAAUCAGAGCUGUAGCCACAGGCCUACGCCAGAGCCACAGCAACGCGGGAUCCGAGCCGCGUCUGCAACCUACACCACAGCUCACGGCAACGCCAGAUCGUUAACCCACUGAGCAAGGGCAGGGAUCGAACCCGCAACCUCAUGGUUCCUAGUCGGAUUCGUUAACCACUGCGCCAUGACGGGAACUCCCAAGAUUAGGUUUUUAAAAACAGCCUUAUGAGGUAUAAUUGACUUAAAAUAAGCUCUGCAUAUUUAAUGUGUACAAUUAUACGUCAGUGAGGCUGCUCGAAGCCCUGCUGCUUCCUGCUGCUGCUGUUCAGUCUUUUCUCUUUUGUUUUGGAUGCUUUCUAUUGCUUUACCUUUAAGUUUGCUAAUAUUUUCUUUUGCAAUGUCCAGUCUGCUCUUAAUACAUUGUAUGUAGUAUAUUUUUCAUCUCAGACAUUAUAGGUUUCAUAUCUAGAAGUUUGAUUUGGAUCUUUUUUUAAAAUGUAUUUUAUGUCCCUGCUUAACAUAGUCUUUCCUUUGAAUUCUCACAUUGAAAUACAGUUACAGUUGUCUUAAUACCUUUGUCCACUAAUUAUGUCAUCUCUCUCAUUUAUUUCUUUUUUCUUUUUUUUUUUUUUAGGGCCACACCCACGACACAUGGAGGUUCCCAGGCUAGGGGUCUAAUCAGAGCUGUAGCUGCCGGUCUGCACCACAGCCACAGCAACGCCAGAUCUGAGCCACAUCUGCGACCUACACCAUAGUUCACAGCAAUGCCAGAUCCUUAACCCACUGAGCGAGACCGGGGAUCCAACCCACAACCUCAUGGCUCCUAGUUGGGUUCGCUAACUGCUGAGCCAUGACGGGAACUCUGAUUCCUAUAAAUAUUUUCUUGAGUUUUGUUCUGGAACAUGAUGCAGUUCCUUACAAAUGGUUUGUUCAUUUCAAAUCUUGUUAGGUGGGAUCAGAGCAGCAUUUAGUUUAGGGCUAAUUAUUUCCAACUACUGAGCCAAAACUCUUCUGAGUACUCUAAUAGUUUGUUAAUUCUGAGGUUUUCCACUCUGUUGGGAAUCAGUCCUCUUCUUGGCCCUGUGUGAGCCUCAUGAAUUAUCCUUGUUAUUCUUUUUUUGUUGUUGUUGUUGUCUUUUUGCCAUUUUCUUGGGCCGUUUUCGUGGCAUAUGGAAGUUCCCAGGCUAGGGGUCGAAUUGGAGCUAUAGCCGCUGGCCUAUGCCAGAGCCACAGCAACGUGGGAUCCAAGCCACGUCUGUGACCAACACCACAGCUCACGGCAACGCCGGAUCCUUCACCCACUGAGCAAGGCCAGGGAUCGAACCCGCCACCUCAUGGUUCCUAGUCAGAUUCGUUUCCACUGCACCACAACGGGAACUCCAGUCCUUGUUAUUCUUUUGGGUAGUUCUCCCUCCCGCUUUGCUGUUGUUUUUUGUUUUUGUUUUUUGCUUUUUAGGGCCAAACCCACGGCAUAUGGAAGUUCCCAGGCUUGGGGUCCAAUUGGAGCUCUUGCUUCCACCUUACACCACAGCCACAGCAACACCAACGUGGGAUCUGAGCCUCGUCUUCCACCUACAGCAUAGCUCACUGCAAUGCCAGAUCCUUAACCCACUGAGGGAGGCCAGGGAUCGAACCUACGUCCUCAUGGAUACUAGUCAGAUUGCCCCCCACCCCCGUUGGAUGCCCCUCAUCACAUGGAGCUCCCAGGCCAAGGAUCAGAUCCGAGCCGAAGACCUAAGCACUAGCUGCGGCAAUGCCAGAUCCCCAACCCACUGUGCCGGGCUGGGGAUCAAACCAGUAUCCUGGUGCUCCCAAGACGCUGCUGGUCCUGUUGCACCACAGUGGGAACUCCUGGGUGGUUCUUCAUAUGGAAACCUCAAGUAUUUUCUUCACAGGCGUCUGCUGGCCAGUACUGUCCUGAGUACGCAAGGAGGAGAGCUCUGGACUCCUCUUUCUGUGCAGCUCUCUCUUUUGUGGAUAACCUGCCCUGCAGACUCGAGCUGCCUUGUCCGCCUUGGCCUCAACUUGUCUCUAAGUGUGGGGAGACUGCCUAACUUCCCCUGGAUUCCUUCUCCCUGUGCUGCCAGUUGGAAACCCUCCAAGCAGUAAACUGGGGUGGUUGUAGGAUUUGCUUCAUUCUUUCCUUGUUUCUCAGGGAUCACUCUACUUCGUAACUUUGUGUCUUAAAAACUAUUGCUUUGUAUAUUCCAGUUUUCAGUUGUUCACCAUGGUGGAGUAAAUCUGGUUCAUGUCAUCCCACCUGCCUGGAAGCAGAAGUGUAAACUUUUUUUAAAAAAGGGAAGUAGGUAAUUCUCAUUGUGGCUCAGCGGAAACGAUCCUGCCUAGUAUCCAUGAGGACACAGGUGCGAUCCCUGGCCCUGCUCAGUGGGUUAAGGAUAUGGUGUUGCCAUGAGCUGUGGUGUAGGUCUGGCAUUGCUAUGGCUGUGGUGUAGGCUGGGAGCUCCAGCUCCAAUUUGACCCCCAAGCCUGGAAACUUCCAUAUGCCACAGGUGUGGCCCCAAAAAGACAAAAAAAAAAAAAAAAAAA
rnacentral:lncRNA from 1 species